rnacentral:rRNA from 1 species
UACGGAGGGGGCGAGCGUUAUUCGGAAUUAUUGGGCGUAAAGGGCGCGUAGGCGGCUUGAUGUGUCAAAGGUGAAAUCCCUCGGCUCAACUGAGGAACUGCCUUUGAAACUGUCUGGCUUGAGGCCGGGAGAGGGUAGCGGAAUUCCCAGUGUAGCGGUGAAAUGCGUAGAUACUGGGAGGAACACCGGUGGCGAAGGCGGCUACCUGGACCGGUUCUGACGCUGAUGGCGCGAAAGCGUGGGUAGCAAACAGG